GGUGGCAGGUAGCCUAGUGGUUAGAGAGGGGUGGCAGGUAGCCUAGUGGUUAGAGAGGGGUGGCAGGUAGCCUAGUGGUCAGAGGGGGAGGCAGGUAGCCUAGUGGUUAGAGAGGGGAGGCAGGUAGCCUAGGGGUUAGAGAGGGGUGGCAGGUAGUCUAGUGGUUAGAGAGGGGUGGCAGGUAGCCUAGUGGUUAGAGAGGGGCGGCAGGUAGCCUAGUGGUUAGAGAGGGGAGGCAGGUAGCCU